UCGCAUGCCAGGCGACGGCACGGCGGCGUGUGCAGGCGUUCGGCGCGUCCACUCCGGCGACCACGAGCGAGGCCCCGCUCCCGAUAGCUGCGCCUGCACGUUUCUUCCCUCUACUGCCUAUCCCCUCGCCGGUGUCCGUCCUUCCCCAUCUCCCAAGAUCUGCUCCGCUGCAAUUCUCAUGUCCCGUCCGGCGACGGCGACGGCCGGCUGUCGGGAUUGACGAAAGCUGUCAACCGGGCUUGGAGGAAAAAGCUCGAUGAUCUUGCAGAUGAUGAGCAUGGCGAGCUGUUGUGUCUGUGCCGAGGUGCUGCUGCGUUAUGAUGCCUGAUAAUUGAGCUCCUCUUCUACAGGCUGCGAAUCGCGGAGUUGUUGCUGGAGACCGAGAUGACGAGCACGACAAACUGCUGUGUCGACGGCGAUGAGCGCAUCGAGCUGGUGAUGCUGUUGUGGCUGCAGAUGAUGAUGACGAGCGACUUCGGUGGUGAUGAGCACAGCGAGUUGGUGAGCUGCAGAUCAAGAAGGCGAUGGUGAUAUUCAAAAGAAGCUGAUGGUACAAGUUCUAGCAGAGUGACUCUUCCUCGUUUGGUUAUGUUUUGAAUGGGUGUAAUGGAUCCAGUUUUGAAUGUUGGUAUCAAUUAUUCCUAAGAAAGCAUGUCAGAAAUUUAUGCUUCUUGAAAGAGUUCAAUUGGUGCUACCAUGAUCGCUGAAAUUUAGAUAAUCAUGACGCUACAAAUGUUGAUGUGCGCAUUUGUCUAGAUUCUUGUUUAAAUUAUUUGCAUAAUGUUGUGUCUCGGACUUCCA